GAAAAAGGAAAAAACAGAGAGGGGAGCUAUGGCGGCUAGGUCUUCGGUCGGCAACAAAAGGAACGGAAAAAACAGGGGAGAGCUUCGGGUGGAAGAGACUUUUGGCCAAAGAAAAACAGAGGGAAAAACCGAGAGGGGGGAGCCUCGGCUAAAGAACGCAGGAAAAAUCUGGAAAUUGGGGGUGAGGGCUGAAAGAGGGAAAGGCAGAAAACGGAAAAGAAAAACAAAAAAGGCAACAGAGAGGUGGCGGCGGAAUUUGGGAAGCCAAAAAACAGAGGAAACAGGCAGAGGAGCAAGAGAGCCGAACGGAGAAGCAAGAGGGGCUGCCGUCGAAAUCCAUCACCUCGCCCGAGCCCGUUGUCGACGCCGAUGAAAUUGACACCAUGAGAAGCAAUGGUAGGUUCACUUUUACUCCUACGUUUCAGUCUUUAGUCAAGCACAAGUUCUGAAAAUUUUCAGAGCAUGUUUGCGGAUGAACGUGCCAUGUCCACUGUUAGCUUGUUGUUUCAAAUUUCAUGUCGAUUGUUCAUGGCCUUUUCUGUAUGUUGAUUAGACUGAAAUCUUUUGGUUUUGAACAAUUUUGGGGCUGAUCAAUCUCAAUUUGAGCAAUAAUUCGGUGAGGUUUUAAUGCCUAUUUGUUGCUCGAUGAAAUGCCUAACUGAUUUUUCUAAUUGAAAGUUAACUUGUCGGCAUUUUUUUUGCGUAUGAAGAAACUGGAUAGGUUAGCAAGUUCAUUUCCUUGUAUUUGAGAAAUUUUGAGGAAUUGGUUUAGCAUUUGCCGUUGUUUUGUUCCAUUCCGAAGUAAUCUUAGGAGACGGAGUUUUCAUGAGUAAAUUUUGUUGUCUUUUGGGAAUGAUUGCAUUUGAAAUUAAGUUUCUGGUAUUGCUGAUUGAAAAGAACGGGAACAUCAAUUGAUGAUUAAUCAGUAAAGAGGAUUGUUUUCUUGUUGGAACCUGAAAUGUUGACUAUGUUUUGGUAUUCAUUCUCUGGUUUAGAACCUGAUGUCUUUAAGAGUUGGAG
rnacentral:lncRNA from 1 species